rnacentral:rRNA from 1 species
GAUGAACGCUGGCGGCGUGCCUAAUACAUGCAAGUCGAGCGAACAGACGAGGAGCUUGCUCCUCUGACGUUAGCGGCGGACGGGUGAGUAACACGUGGAUAACCUACCUAUAAGACUGGGAUAACUUCGGGAAACCGGAGCUAAUACCGGAUAAUAUAUUGAACCGCAUGGUUCAAUAGUGAAAGACGGUUUUGCUGUCACUUAUAGAUGGAUCCGCGCCGCAUUAGCUAGUUGGUAAGGUAACGGCUUACCAAGGCAACGAUGAGUAGCCGACCUGGGGGGUGGAUCGGCAAACCGGGAACUGGACACGGGCCCAACUCCCACGGGGGGGCACAGGGGGGAAAUUUGCCGCAGGGGGGGAAAGCCUGACGGGGCAACGCCGGGGGAGUGAGAAAGGUUUUGGGUUCGAAAACCCUUUUUAUUGGGAAAAAAAAAAGGUGAAAAAAACCAUGCCCGUCUGACGGGAACCAAAGAAGAAACCCCCGCCAAACUACGU